AUUUUAAAAUGCAUUGUUAGCAUUCAUUCGUUCAAAAUGGUAGACGUUUGGCGGACAGAAGCAGUUAUAUUUAUUUCACUUUGGUUUAGAAUUAUCAAACUAAUAUCACACUUUGAAGAGUUACAAGACAAUCCAUAUGAAUGGUGAAACUAAAAGCAUAGCUUGUGAGAUUUUCCAAAAGAAUAAGUAUUUAUAUGAAAAUAUUAUUUACAUUUAUAAUUAAAAUGGUGCAUGCCUAAAUAAGCAAGUGUCGCCUAAGAUUUUUGUAUUUAUUGGUACAUUAUCUGCAGCCAAUUAAUAACACCAAUUGAAGCAGAUCUAGUAGGUAAACUCCUUAAACUUUAUCGCCUCCUUAGCAUGCCGAAAAGUUUUUGAAGCUUCCCGCAUAAUCAACUCUGUGCCUUGGACUUUUUGCAAGGAUAAGGACUCCAUGAAACAGCAAAAGUACGAAAUAACAAACAAACAAUAAAAUAUUGAGCACAUUAAUGUUUAGUCAGA